CGCCACGACGGGAACUCCCCAGCUGCUACAUUAUUACAAGAAGGGUGGUAUGAGGUGAGCACAGCUGGAAAGGCUUACAGCUGCCUUUUUAGCCAAGGCAGGGGGAGGUUGUGCUCUAGAAACUCUUAUUUCACCUGGAGCACCUUAGACCUGGAUGACACUCCCGAAGGCGUGCCCCAUGGAGGAGCAAAAACUCUGCACCAGGCUCCAGAAAGCUUCAAGGGCCCUGCACAAGCCCCGGAAGCAGGCAGCAGCCCUUUCCUGCACCCAAGCCAGGGCACCCCUCCACCUCUGCUGCAGGCGCUUCAGCAUUUCCUCAAACAGCUCAAGGAUGCGUCUGAAAGUGCUCUGCCUGGGCUCCCGGACCGCUAGCGCAUAAUGUGGCUGGUUGUGGCCAGGAGGCCUUCGGACUCUAGAACGGACUCCCUGCCGGACUUCGUUGAGCAGAGGACUGGAUUCUGCAGGGAUGGGGGGUGGUUCAGGGACCCGCCUGGGGAGAGGCAGCCCCAGUCCUGACCUUGGCUGAGGCCCUGCCUUUGGGAGAGUCCUGACACCCCCCUCAUGCCCCGCCUUGGACACAGGCUGCUUUCCUGCCAACAGCCCCACAGACCCCAGGACUUUUCCCAGGGGCUGGGCCUGGCCGCUCAGUUCCCCUCCAAGUCAUAAACCACGAAGGUGGGGUAUACCUGCCUGUCGCCCACCUGACCUCCGAGCCCAGCAGCAGGCCCGCCUGGGUGCAGCGUCAUGGAAUUGAGGGCAGGGCUCCAGGACGCAGGGGAGCUCUGUCCGCACGUGGCAGCACCAACACAAUGGGGAGGGGGGAGGGUCUGAGACAGCAGCUCAAACUCACCGAGUCGUCGUUCUCCAGCUGAGCAUCGAAAGCUCCAAGCAGGUCCUCACUGAGUCCGUCCUGGGGAGAGGAGCAUGGAGGCUGCUCUCCUGCCCCUGUCACUGAGCUCUGUGGCCCCCCAGGGGUCCAGGUGAGGCCAAAGGGUGCCAGGAGCCCAGACCCAAUACCCUGGCUGAUGCUAACCCUGGGCGCCAACCUUUGGGGAAGGGGCGAGGCCCAGACUCACCUCCAGCUUCAUCAGGGCUAACUCCACCUGCUGGGAAACAGGACGUGGUUAAAAAGCCCUGCCCUCUCUCCCCUUCAGUCUGAUUCCCAAGAGACAGAGAGGCCUGGUCCCCUCCCUCCUGGGUCCCAGGUGAACCAGAACUCACUCAGCUUCACCAGCAGAAUCCGGGCCUCUCUUGACACUACCCCCUGCCCCGCAACCCAAUACACGGGGAGGCGCUGCUUCAUAUUUUGGUCCUCAGAGCAUCCAGGUUACAUGGGACCGUGUGUGCAGAUAACAAUGACACAAGGAAUUCCCGUUGUGGCUCGGCGGUUACAUCCAUGAGGAUGCGGGUUUGAUUCCUGGCCUCGCUUAGUGGUUUAAGGACCUGGCGUUGCCUUGCCUGUGGUGUAGGCCCAAGGCUGUAGCUCCGAUUAGACCCCUAGCCUGGGAACCUUUAUAUGCUGCAGGUGCGGCCCUAAAAAGACAAAAAGACAAUAAAAAAAGCGGUGAUACCAAAGCCUUUUUUUUUCCCUGUGGUGUAGCUGCCAGCCUACACCACAGCCACAGUAACACGGUGGCUGUAUCUGAGCCACAUCUGAAACCUACACCACAGCUCACAGCAGCGUGGGAUUCUUAACACACUGAGCAAGGCCAGGGAGCAAACCCGCAACCUCACGGUUCCUAGUCAGAUUCAUUUCCACUGCGCCACGACGGGAACUCCACUUUUUAAAAAUCUUCUUAGGGCCACACCUAGGGCAUAUGGGUGGAGGUUCCCAGGCUAGGGCUCCAACUGGAGCUGCAAGUGCUGGCCUACACCACAGCCACAGCAACCUCAGAUCCGAGCUGUGUCUGAGACCUCCACUUCAGCUCAUGGCAACCCCAGAUCCUUAAGCCACU
ensembl:lncRNA